rnacentral:rRNA from 1 species
UACGUAGGGUGCAAGCGUUGUCCGGAAUUAUUGGGCGUAAAGAGCUCGUAGGCGGUCUGUCACGUCGGCUGUGAAAUCCCGAGGCUCAACCUCGGGUCUGCAGUCGAUACGGGCAAACUAGAGUAUUGCAGGGGAGACUGGAAUUCCUGGUGUAGCGGUGAAAUGCGCAGAUAUCAGGAGGAACACCGGUGGCGAAGGCGGGUCUCCUGG